rnacentral:lncRNA from 1 species
CAAAGUUUAUAUUCAUUUUACACACAUUAAUAAAUAUAAAACAAUUAUAAAAGAGUAAACUUUUUCAAAUUUUAAAAAAUAUCUCUGAUUCAAAUUACCACCACCAUCUUCAAUUGGGUUGAGACGAGAGAAAAAAUGUUGGAGUGAUGACAGAGAAAAUGUUGAGAUGAGAGAGAAAAUAUCUCUAAUAACAAUUGGGGCAACGGUAGGGAUGACAGGGAAAAUGUUGGAGUGAGAGAGAUGACAGAGAAAAUGUUAGGGUGAGAGAGAUGAAAGAGAAAAGGGUUGAGAGGAAUGAGAGAGGUGAGUAAGGGUUUGGGGGUUUCUUUUCUUGUUUUUUAGUUUUGAGAAUGAAAAUUAUUUAAAUAUCCUUGACUUUAAAACUUAGAAUCCAUGAUAAAUGAGGAUAUUUUUGUCUACUAUAAUCCGGUACACAUUGUUAAAACGUACCAACUGAAAAACAGGCGUACGCGUGUUAACAAACCCCAUAUAUAUAUAUAUAUAUAUAUAUAUAAUUAAAAGAGAU